CGGAGCUUGCUCCACCGGAAAAAGAGGAGUGGCGAACGGGUGAGUAACACGUGGGUAACCUGCCCAUCAGAAGGGGAUAACACUUGGAAACAGGUGCUAAUACCGUAUAACAAUCGAAACCGCAUGGUUUUGAUUUGAAAGGCGCUUUCGGGUGUCGCUGAUGGAUGGACCCGCGGUGCAUUAGCUAGUUGGUGAGGUAACGGCUCACCAAGGCCACGAUGCAUAGCCGACCUGAGAGGGUGAUCGGCCACAUUGGGACUGAGACACGGCCCAAACUCCUACGGGAGGCAGCAGUAGGGAAUCUUCGGCAAUGGACGAAAGUCUGACCGAGCAACGCCGCGUGAGUGAAGAAGGUUUUCGGAUCGUAAAACUCUGUUGUUAGAGAAGAACAAGGAUGAGAGUAACUGUUUAUCCCUUGACGGUAUCUAACCAGAAAGCCACGGCUAACUACGUGCCAGCAGCCGCGGUAAUACGUAGGUGGCAAGCGUUGUCCGGAUUUAUUGGGCGUAAAGCGAGCGCAGGCGGUUUCUUAAGUCUGAUGUGAAAGCCCCCGGCUCAACCGGGGAGGGUCAUUGGAAACUGGGAGACUUGAGUGCAGAAGAGGAGAGUGGAAUUCCAUGUGUAGCGGUGAAAUGCGUAGAUAUAUGGAGGAACACCAGUGGCGAAGG
rnacentral:rRNA from 1 species